rnacentral:rRNA from 1 species
GAUCCUGGCUCAGGAUGAACGCUAGCUACAGGCUUAACACAUGCAAGUCGAGGGGCAGCAUUUCAGUUUGCUUGCAAACUGGAGAUGGCGACCGGCGCACGGGUGAGUAACACGUAUCCAACCUGCCGAUAACUCGGGGAUAGCCUUUCGAAAGAAAGAUUAAUACCCGAUGGUAUAAUCAGACCGCAUGGUCUUGUUAUUAAAGAAUUUCGGUUAUCGAUGGGGAUGCGUUCCAUUAGCAG